rnacentral:ncRNA from 1 species
CGAAAAUAGAGUAGCGGGAUGGUAUCUCCCGCGAUCAUCCCUCAGAUGAUCUCUUCACAGCCACGG